CAAGGGUGAAGCCAUAAAGGCAAUUUAUAAGUGAACUAUCACAGGAACUCUCUCAACCAUUUCAACGGGAAUUCAUGCCAUGCAGUCCCUGCUGGUAGUGAUACAGAUGUAAAAUUGAAUGGCAGGCUUACCGGACUUCUCUUCUACAAGAUGGCCGCAGAUAAGUGAGAAGAAAAGACAAAAACACAGAGAGUCCUCUGCAGCAGAACAACAGGGCUGAUCACACAACGCUCACCAGAGAUGGGGAGAGUGCCAGGCCUCCUACUGAGGCUUUUAGCUCGUCCAUAGAUGGAGGGACACACUUGGUACUGUCCGACACCAGCGGCUUGAUCUUAAUUUUGAACUUUUUCUUGCUGUCCUCGUCGUCCUCGGAGUCGCUGGAGGAGAAAAACUGCUUUCCUUUGCAAGCUGGUGAUCUUGUGUCAAGGACAAUGUAAAAUAACAGCAAUAAAUAGUGUGAAACAUGGAGGCUAAUUCAGUCUUCUAAAGAAUUUAAAGAUAACAUGACCUUCAAAAAUAAAUAUAUUUCUUCUCAAA